GAAAAAAUAAUCCAUAAGUAGAUCAGCAGCGCGCAUGCAGUCAGGCAUGACAGACAUUGCAUCAUAUGCAGCUUGACAAUUCCCUAGCUCCUAAGAACAACAUCCCAGCAUGGGUACAAUCAGAGAGAUCCAGCGAGUGAUCCAUUCAUAAAGCUAGAAAGGUGCUUUGCCUUGCCUGAUCUGACCCUGAUCCAGAUGAGUUAGCUAGCUAUAGGCGAUGAUCAGAUGAGACCUACUAGGCUUGGCUUGCUGGCGCUCUGUCACCUCUCUGCCUGCUUGCUUGCCUUCCUUUCCUUACCUGAUGGACUGCCAAGGAUAGGAUAGCCACAGGUAACCAACCAGCCCACGAGGCCCACGAGGGAUUCUUGAACGCAUUUCCUUCCCUACUCCUUUGUACUACUAGCAUGCAAUUAUGGGGGAGGGGACGGCGAAAAGGCAACAGGGUCAUCUCAGAACUCAGAUGCCAUUGCCAACUGCAAAAGGUUUUCAUGGCCAAAAGGCAUCGUCAGAAAGGCAAAGGCGACCUGCUUUGUCUACCGAAUCUGGCGUGUGCAUGCAUGUAUAGUAUAGAUGCAACCUAUGGAUGGAGUAUGUGAGUGAGUGCUUGCAAAACUGCCAUGCAAUGUGACUUUUGGUGCAUCUGCAAGUGCAUGCUGGCCCUCACUUUCAGCUUCUAGAUCAUUGGGGGAAUAAAGUAAGCCCUUGGUGUUCAGCUAUCAAUCUAUCAUUGGUUGGGUUUAGGGAAAAACAUAAAGCUAGUCAUCGUCGACCGGCUCUUCGCUGUGCCACAAAGAAUUACUACUGUUGAUAGUGAAGAGAAAAGAAGAGAGAAGACAUAUAGUCAAACUCUUAGAAUGAGAGAUGAUCUUUAUUUCUUUAUGUUGUUUUCUCUUAUCGUUGACUUUCCGUUUUGAUGAAAUAUGCAACUGUGUUUGGUGUCUUGUAUUCAUGGUUAAAUUAACCACCUCUAGCAACAAAAUUCGAGGUUGUUAAACCUCCAGCAGUGAA